rnacentral:rRNA from 1 species
AUUGAACGCUAGCGGCAUGCCUAACACAUGCAAGUCGAACGGCAGCAUGCUUUGUAGCAAUACAAAGUGAUGGCGAGUGGCGGACGGGUGAGUAACGCGUAGGAAUCUGCCCUGAAGAGGGGGAGUAACUCAGCGAAAGCUGAGCUAAUACCGCAUAGUCUCUUUGGAGUAAAGCAGGGGAGUCUUUAGACCUUGCACUUCGGGAUGAGCCUGCGUGAGAUUAGCUAGUUGGUGAGGUAAUGGCUCACCAAGGCGACGAUCUCUAACUGGUCUGAGAGGACGGCCAGUCACAUUGGGACUGAGACACGGCCCAAACUCCUACGGGAGGCAG